rnacentral:rRNA from 1 species
CUUGGUCAUUUAGAGGAAGUAAAAGUCGUAACAAGGUUUCCGUAGGUGAACCUGCGGAAGGAUCAUUAUCGUAGGGCUUCGGCCCUGUCGAGAUAGAACCCUUGCCUUUAUGAGUACCGUCCGUUUCCUCGGCAGGUCCGCCUGCCGAUGGACAAAAAAAAUAAACCCUUUAUCACCUGUAUCAGUCUGAAAAAACAAAUAAAAAUUAAAACUUUCAACAACGGAUCUCUUGGUUCUGGCAUCGAUGAAGAACGCAGCGAAAUGCGAUAAGUAGUGUGAAUUGCAGAAUUCAGUGAAUCAUCGAAUCUUUGAACGCACAUUGCGCCCUUUGGUAUUCCUUAGGGCAUGCCUGUUCGAGCGUCAUUUAAACCUUCAAGCUCUGCUUGGUGUUGGGUGUCUGUCCCGCCUCGGCGCGGACUCGCCUUAAAUUCAUUGGCGGCCGGUACAUUGGCUUCGAGCGCAGCAGAAACGCGAACUCGGAGACUUUGGAUCAGCUCCCAGAAGCUAUUUUCUAUUUUUGACCUCGGAUCAGGUAGGGAUACCCGCUGAACUUAAGCAUAUCAAUAAGCGGAGGA